UACGUAGGUGGCAAGCGUUGUCCGGAAUUACUGGGCGUAAAGGGCGCGUAGGCGGCCUGCUAAGUCACACGUGAAAUCCCUCGGCUCAACCGGGGAACUGCGUGUGAUACUGGCGGGCUUGAAUUCGGGAGAGGGAUGUGGAAUUCCAGGUGUAGCGGUGAAAUGCGUAGAUAUCUGGAGGAACACCGGUGGCGAAGGCGGCAUCCUGGACCGAGAUUGACGCUGAGGCGCGAAAGCUAGGGGAGCAAACGGG
rnacentral:rRNA from 1 species